rnacentral:lncRNA from 1 species
GUCUUUUUACCCCAAAAUUCACCCCAUUUAAUUCAUUCUUCCAAUUUCCCAAAAGAAAUCAAGUCUCCUCCCAAAUAUUCUCUCUCUAGAAAGCUUAAAAGAAGAAGAAAAAGAUUCAACAUAGGGUUUCAAGCUAAGAUUUCAAUUACUCCAUUGAAUAUAAGCAAUUGGACUUAAGGGUCCGACAGACAUGGUUCCCAUUUUAGUGGCUAGAUCUUGGACUUUGAUUCUUGCCCGACCUUGGUGAGUCCUCAUGGUUCGAAGACCAAUUACUUUCAUUUUAGUUUCUCUUUUGUAUUUCUUUUUUUGGACAAGAUGUAUGGGCUAGGCCUAAUUUCAUUUGAUUGUAAUAGAUGGCUAUGUUGAUUGGACAUGUGUUUAGACUUUCACUUUUCUAUAAAAUUGUUUUGGAC